GAGUUUGAUCCUGGCUCAGGAUGAACGCUGGCGGCGUGCCUAAUACAUGCAAGUCGAGCGAACAGAUAAGGAGCUUGCUCCUUUGACGUUAGCGGCGGACGGGUGAGUAACACGUGGGUAACCUACCUAUAAGACUGGAAUAACUCCGGGAAACCGGGGCUAAUGCCGGAUAAUAUUUAGAACCGCAUGGUUCUAAAGUGAAAGAUGGUUUUACUAUCACUUAUAGAUGGACCCGCGCCGUAUUAGCUAGUUGGCGGGGUAAUGGCUUACCAAGGCAACGAUACGUAGCCGACCUGAGAGGGUGAUCGGCCACACUGGAACUGAGACGCGGUCCAGACUCCUACGGGAGGCAGCAGUAGGGAAUCUUCCGCAAUGGGCGAAAGCCUGACGGAGCAACGCCGCGUGAGUGAUGAAGGUCUUCGGAUCGUAAAACUCUGUUAUUAGGGAAGAACAAAUGUGUAAGUAACUGUGCACGUCUUGACGGUACCUAAUCAGAAAGCCACGGCUAACUACGUGCCAGCAGCCGCGGUAAU
rnacentral:rRNA from 1 species